AUGCGUGAGCGUGCUAAGGUAGUGUAAUAGAUUAGCUUUUUAAUUGGAGGCCAGUGAAUGGCAAAACUAGGAACACCUUUAUUUUAUGUACCAAAAAAAUUUUUCAUCUAAGUGAAAAGACUUAGAUAACAAAGGAAGACGAAAAGACCCCGCGGAGCUUUAUCUUUUCUUAAACUUUCGUUUACCAACUUAAAUGUAUCAGAGGUUUGAUUGGGGCAAUCUUGGAACAAACAAAGCUUCCAGUGAUUAAAAAAUCCUAUCUAAAACUUAGUAAGGACCAAAAAGAAGCUACCCCGGGGAUAACAGCGUAAUCUAACUUAAGAGUACAUAUCGAAAGUUAGGUUUGCGACCUCGAUGUUGGCUUAAGGAUAUCCACAUUAGUGCAACCGCUAUGAUAGGAAAGUUUGUUCGACUAUUAUACCCUUACACGAGCUGAGUUAAGAACCGA
rnacentral:rRNA from 1 species